rnacentral:sRNA from 1 species
UGGCACUGCCACAGGCUCCACCUGCGCCCACGCUCUCGCUUGUGGAGAAACCAACGGUGCCAGAUGCUCGCU